CCAGUCCCUCAACACGUCCACUGUCAAAAUGGCGGUCCAGGCAGGCGCUGUUGACGCCCAGACCUGAGUAGUUGCCUCCGAGCGCAUCGAUGCUGUCGGUCGAUCUUCGAGUAGAGGCUGAUCACAGGGCUUCAGAAGGACAGAAAGGCAGGGGAGGCAUGGACACUUGAGAAGAAAAGGUUCCUUGUCUUCUGGAGGUUAAUGGAAACUUUUUGCCUGCCGAAAAGCAAGAAUUCCAGCACUGUUUACAGCAUUUGCUAUAAAGGAGAAGACCCAUGUUUCUUCAGACUAUUCAAAGAGUCCAUCCUUACAAAACCACUAUAGACUACUGGCAAUGGUAAGGGUAAAUGGUUCUUCCUGGGCUUGGCCGGAGUCCUGCCACAGGUGGUCAAUAGAUACAAACUGAAAGCUGAACAGAUGAAGCCACGGCAGUGUCUAUCAUUAAUCACGGCUGUGCUCUGAUCUUCUGUUUCUGGGUGUCGCAGUUACCCAGCAUCUAUCGUCCCAAUGGCUCUGCUAAGAAGGUCUUUUGUUCCACUCCAGAUGGGAUUGCCCAGUGAAAUAUUGGAGCUCCACUGAAAUUCAAUAAAUAAUGAAAACUU